UACGAAGGGGGGCUAGCGUUGCUCGGAAUCACUGGGCGUAAAGGGUGCGUAGGCGGGUCUUUUAAGUCAGGGGUGAAAUCCUGGAGCUCAACUCCAGAACUGCCUUUGAUACUGAGGAUCUUGAGUCCGGGAGAGGUGAGUGGAACUCCGAGUGUAGAGGUGAAAUUCGUAGAUAUUCGGAAGAACACCAGUGGCGAAGGCGGCUCACUGGCCCGGUACUGACGCUGAGGCGCGAAAGCGUGGGGAUCAAACAGG
rnacentral:rRNA from 1 species